CAAAGGAAAGUAAGCAGUGUGCAGACCAGAGGGCAACAGCAGACCGCACCCACAGAGCAACGUGAACCCUGUGAGACUGCGUGCUCCACGGAAAUGCCAGGGCUGGAAACUCCAGAUGCCUGUGCAGGAGCUCACACUGUGAGGUUCCUGUUUGUGCUCGACGUUAACAUGCCUGAAACUGGGGCCAACGGGAAAAGGAAAAGGAGGCUACAAGGUGUGAAAUCACGGACGUGCGAUCCUAGCAAGGAGUGAGCAGGCAAACCUGGUGGCAGUGGAAGGCCGGUAGGAGUGGCUGUCGGAGGCUACGGGUUUUAGGUGAGUAAUGAGAAACGGCUGCAUUAGGUCAAAGCGGGGGCUGAACGGCAUCAGAAGUCCGCACAGCACCAGGGAGGUAGGGAAGCGCUCCCACGGCUAAGAAAGCAGUUGGUACGUAGUAAUUCUAAACCAGUAUCACCAGCCCAUCAUUCUUCACCAGAAUGUGUAUAAACAGACUUCCCAGGGUACUUACUGGAAACUAGUGUAUCAAAAACAGUCCCAUGGCCUCUUUCAGGGCAGAAGUGUCAUUAACGAAAGGAAAGGCGAUCUGAUUUUUUUUGGUCAUUUUCCAGGACAUAUACUUUCAGAUACUUUACCUUUCAGUGUAAGCCUCUGCACCGAGGCAGUAUGUCCACACACACAUGCUUAGGCCAACCAGAAAUCAACAUUCUUCUCUCCUUUAAAGCAUUAGAAGACAGCGAAAGUCUGCUAACUUAGGAACCUAGGUAACUGGAGAAGGAAACCGUGUCUUGCGAUGCUGCGUUGUCACUGAGAUAGCCUCUUCACAGCGGGGCACAGUGUGACUACAAGGCGGCUGGGGCCUUCCACAUGCACCUUUGCGGGGGAAGAAAAGUUCCCACUACCAGCAAACCCUACACUCUGCCUGCAACACAGCACUCUCCAGUGAGAUUUCAGAAGGUACUGAGGGCACAGUGGCUUCCCUUCCAUUCUUCGGGAUUACAGUACGUUAACAGACUUUUAAAAAUUAUGCAUCAUUGAUUCUAAUUACAAUCUUUAAGACUAGAAAGUUCUUGAGAAAGAAGUUAAUUCAUUGUUUUGCCUUUGGGAAAAAUUUAAAUCAUGUCAGACUUCUUCUCUUUUAUAGAUAAGAAAUGCAUUUCUACUGCACUGCUUGUGGGCGGCUGGGAAGUACAGAUGAGUGAAGCAGAGGCACAAACCUUCUUUCCUGACGUGUACUUGCAGGCAGGGUCUCAUUAUGUGGUUCAGGCUGACCUCAAACUCACAGUAAUUCUCCUGCCUCAGCCUCCUAAGUGUUGGGAUUACAGGUGUGUGCCACUGCCUGGCUAAUAAAUAUUAUGGCAUUUUCAAAAGGUAAUGAAUUACUUGGUUGUAGCUAAUGAAAACCACAAGGUCCUACAAAGUGCCCCAUAUGUGUUUGCAUUUCCCGGGCACAGGACAUAGGCUGUAAAGCCCUGUUCUCUCAUGUCCAGAAGGUGGCGGCCUUCUCCCACAUUCUGGCAACUCAAAUUCCAGAAAUAACAAGAAAUUAAGCAGCUACUGCAGCGGCUGUACUAAAUGUUGAGCGUUCAUUAAUGCACAGGACACUCUCCUCGCUCAGAGCCACAGGACUGAUGUACAGUAUGUUUUAGGAAGGAGCUUUGGAGAGUUAAAGCGACCCCCAGGGAGGAGUCACACGGCACAGGCUGGGUCAGGGAAGCAGUCCUCUCUGUUCACUUUGGCACGUGAGUGUCUAGUGUGGAGCCUGUCAUGUGGUACCCCGUGAAUAGCACUGAAAGAAAAAUAUUCUGUCCCACAAUCUCAGUGGCCUCAACCCUGGACAGAGGAAGCUGACUGCCUCUGCACUUGUAAGAAACAUGAUGGUGUGCUCAGCCUUUUUUGGGGACUACCCUAAUUUUUCCUCAAAAACUCUACUUUUUCAAUUUUAUAACAUUUCUUUGUCUUCCCUGGGGAUUUUGAAAAUGAUCUUAUAGAAAAGUUAAUAAAAACGCAGGGGCCACAAAGUUAAUAAAGGCCUGGGCCGAUUCUUGCCCAGGUUGGUCGUGUAUAAAAUGGGCAUGUUGUGGGUUCACAAACUGAGAUGGAGUUAGACUGUACAUUACUCUUCAUUUCCCGCAUGGUGCACUUUUUUCUCAUGUCCAAGGGUCCUACUUGCAUUUUUAAUGUUUCGGCCUCCAUCCAGCCUGCAGUUACACUGCUUAAUUUGUGUUCCCUAAGCAUAGUCUUCUGCCUCUGCGCCCCUCUCCAACUUCUCAAGGUACUUGGGAUUCUAAUCCCACUGUGUAUGUAAGUGUGUUGGUCACUUGAUCUACACAGAGAUCACCAGAAGUUACAGGUGUACCUCUCCUAAAAGCAGCUACCAAAAGUCCUGAUGAAAUAUUCAGGCUUCACUUUCCGUUACUGAGAAGUGUUUUAAAAAUCAGACUACAGCUCAUUCUUUACCUUUAUGUUUUAAUUUUUAAUGACAGCCUUGGCCUGGAGCCCUGAUUAAAGAACCGAAUCAAACUGCUCUAUCAGGCUACUGAAUUCAAGCUGUUAAGUGACAUCAGUGCUGGGCUGCAGGAAUAAGCACUCUCUGCAGGAUAAGGUUCCACUCUCCUGCAUGAAGGUGAUGCCAGGACAGAUGCUGCCUUCUCUUCACCCUUCAGCAUUGCACUACCGCGCCUGUCGUGCUCUGUCAUCUUGCACAUCUCAACAGCGCUUCCGUUUAUGCAGGGAAGGAUCGCCCUCAAGCACAGCGGCCACCAGCCCUAGCGUGCUCUUUCUCACAAGGCUGUUGCAGCCUUCUGCUGACUCAAGGGGUACGACAUUUUUAAAAUACUGGGCUCAAACAGCAAAGCCCAUAAAGUCUAGGAAAAAAGAAACCUACAACAGAGGCAUGAGCUCCUCUCAUAGAAUCUGACUACACUCAGCUUUUAAAGUCUGACGGCAGGAGCGAUGUGAGAGAGCAGUGGGCCACUUUCUACAUACAGCCUGAGCCCCUAGGGAGCGGACCGUGGGGUCCCAGGGGCACCUCUUCACCCCAUGCUGUCGUUUUCCAAAAUAGAAAACAAGUGUGACUUCUAUUAAUGUGCCGGGCUGUAGGCUACUUCUACAGUAGGUACAUUAAGGAAAGGGCAAAACAACAUCAUAGCUUAAUUUUUAUACAGUAACAGAAAAAGAACAGACACAAAUAUUCUAUCUUGGUUCAAUGCUGGACUCACUCCCUACCCCAUUUUGAGUUUCUAAGACUGGUUCUGAACAGUGCUCCGGGAAUUAUGGAAUAGCAUCUCUGUAACUAAAGCCCAGAAGCACGGCAAGGAUGAGUCUCCCCCUGGCAAAGGUGUUGGCGACCCCAUCUCUUAAAG